UACAGAGGGGGCAAGCGUUGUUCGGAAUUACUGGGCGUAAAGGGCGCGUAGGCGGCCUGCUAAGUCGAACGUGAAAUCCCUGGGCUCAACCCAGGAACUGCGUCCGAUACUGGUUGGCUUGAAUCCGGGAGAGGGAUGUGGAAUUCCAGGUGUAGCGGUGAAAUGCGUAGAUAUCUGGAGGAACACCGGUGGCGAAGGCGACAUCCUGGACCGGUACUGACGCUGAGGUGCGAAAGCGUGGGGAGCAAACAGG
rnacentral:rRNA from 1 species